GUAUUGGUGAGCAACGCGCGUGAGGAACAUCGAUCUUUUGGAUAUCCAAGGAAUUUAAACGCUAGAAAUACCUCCGUGCAUAUCGUAUAUUACCUACGGAGGUGCAUCAGCUCGAAAGAGUAUGUGUGCACGUAUGGGAGGUGGAGGUUUUACAAUAUACAGCGGUGUGCGGACCAGAAUGUACAUGAAUUACUUACCGGAUCGUACGUACGUGUACGGCUACACGUACGUUAUUACAGAAUUACGAAGACGUAGUGGAGAGGGAGGAGUUUGAGAAGGGAAGACCUAAAACUCCUCCACACUCUCAUUGUCGUCCGAUGCAAAGUAAAAUUACAGGUAAAUAUGCCGUAUUAUUCCGCAAAACGCUACGGGGCACCGACAUUACAAAAAUAAAACUAAACAACUAUUGAAAAAAUAUUAUAUAUAUACACCGGCAUCGGGACGAACUUCGAGUCGAGGUAUUAUAAUACACCGCAGUACGUACCCCAUAGCGGAGGAUUAUAUCAACUAUUUCCAUUGUACACCCUAUAUUUUUAUUUGGAUUAAUUUCUUUUUUCUCUCUUCAUUUCUGCGCCUCCAGCGCCAUAGUUCUUGUAUGAUUCUCCGCGGGACACGGAGCAGGGUUUGAACGUUAUUUUCAUCUUCAAAUAAUUUUCAACUGACCGAGUUCGCCUUUUUUUUUCUUUCUCUGGUUUCUCUUUUCGUCGCUAGACACUUAUUCGACCUACGUUUCAUUUUUCCGCGGCACGUCGUUUCAUAACCGCCCCCAGUUUUCUCGGCGUCUUUUUCCUACCAAAAAAGCUUCCGCUACGUACGGGGACCGGAGUAAAGACGGUGGCCGAGUGGUAUAACUUGACCAAUUUCUGGCGCUCGCCUAGCAUUUUUAUAAACUCUCGAUCCUCACGCGCACAAUCCACUC
rnacentral:misc_RNA from 1 species